AGGAAUGCCUAUUGAGGGGGCAAUUUCUGCCUGCCCGACCUGUUCAAUUCCAGAAGGGGGAAUCGCAGUACCUCCAGAAGAUGAGUGAGGAUGUGAGCGCUUUGAUUUGCGGACCAGAUGAGGGGGAUAAGUUUCUCUUGAAGUUUGCUGUAGAAAGCCAAAAGACCAGGUCAAGACAAUUGGAAUAUGGUUUGAGGCAAAAGAAGAUUUGGAGAUAUGAAAUGUACCUGACUCAGCUCUGGGGUUUCACCAGGAAAAGGACUAAUUCUUGGUUGGCGGGAAGGUUCCUCACCACAGCCACGUCAGCAGCCACCAGCAGCAGAAUGAUGAUGAGCUGCACCUGAACCUGUACCAGUGCCCUAGAGGUACCCAGAAAUGGCAGUAAUGGUCAGUAAAUAGAGCAUAAGAGAAAGAACAAGAAGAGAAUACUCUCAUACCUGAGUGCGGUCUUGAGGAGGAGAAAGAGGUUUAUCAACUGUUGGGCAA
rnacentral:lncRNA from 1 species